CUCGUAGGCGGUUCAGUAAGUCAGGUGUGAAAUCUUUGGGCUUAACCCAAAGCGUGCAUUUGAUACUGCUGUGACUUGAGUUCGGUAGGGGAGUGGGGAAUUCCUAGUGUAGCGGUGAAAUGCGCAGAUAUUAGGAGGAACACCGGUGGCGAAGGCGCCACUCUGGGCCGAAACUGACGCUGAGGAGCGAAAGCGUGGUAGCAAACA
rnacentral:rRNA from 1 species